rnacentral:rRNA from 1 species
UGCUCUCGGGUGACGAGUGGCGGACGGGUGAGUAAUGUCUGGGAAACUGCCUGAUGGAGGGGGAUAACUACUGGAAACGGUAGCUAAUACCGCAUAACGUCGCAAGACCAAAGAGGGGGACCUUCGGGCCUCUUGCCAUCAGAUGUGCCCAGAUGGGAUUAGCUAGUAGGUGGGGUAACGGCUCACCUAGGCGACGAUCCCUAGCUGGUCUGAGAGGAUGACCAGCCACACUGGAACUGAGACACGGUCCAGACUCCUACGGGAGGCAGCAGUGGGGAAUAUUGCACAAUGGGCGCAAGCCUGAUGCAGCCAUGCCGCGUGUAUGAAGAAGGCCUUCGGGUUGUAAAGUACUUUCAGCGGGGAGGAAGGUGUUGUGGUUAAUAACCGCAGCAAUUGACGU